GUCAUAAUAUUAUUAUAUUGUCAUCAGAACUCAGAGCGUGUGCAAAAUUUCAUUCUAAUCGAAGACCGGGAAGUGGGUCAAAUUAAGAUUCCAAGAUUUUCUUACAUACAUUUAAGUUACAAGUAAAGCUAAUAUUAUUAUAAAGCGACUUAAAAUGAGCG